AAAAAAUAAUUUUAUUACACUCUGUUCUGUUCUGUGUCUUAAGUGACAAUGAUUUUGGAAAGAUACUAAUAGGUCCAAUUUAGCUACUGUACAAGGGUUGAUUUCAAGCAAGAAACUUAUAUAUAAACCUGAAAUUCACAGUUGUUGUAUAUUUUUGCGUACAAAAAUUAACAAUUACUUGUCACACAAACACACAAUUAAUCCUAAAAUUAACAACAUGAGAUACUUGACCACUAAGUAAUUUUGUUGGAUCAUCCCCAAAAAACGAGACCCUAAAAUCUCCAAAUUCUAGUGAGUUCCUAAAUUGCCAUUAAUUCAUCCAUGCUCCAUAUGUUAUCUCCGAAAUCAUACCCAACCCAAUUGCUUUCCGCCACGUUCUGAAAUACUCCUGCAGGC
rnacentral:misc_RNA from 1 species